rnacentral:rRNA from 1 species
AUUGAACGCUGGCGGCAUGCUUUACACAUGCAAGUCGAACGGUAACAGGCCGCAAGGUGCUGACGAGUGGCGAACGGGUGAGUAAUGCAUCGGAACGUGCCCAGUCGUGGGGGAUAACGCAGCGAAAGCUGCGCUAAUGCCGCAUACGAUCUAUGGAUGAAAGCGGGGGACCGUAAGGCCUCGCGCGAUUGGAGCGGCCGAUGUCAGAUUAGGUAGUUGGUGGGGUAAAGGCUCACCAAGCCAACGAUCUGUAGCUGGUCUGAGAGGACGACCAGCCACACUGGGACUGAGACACGGCCCAGACUCCUACGGGAGGCAGCAGUGGGGAAUUUUGGACAAUGGGCGCAAGCCUGAUCCAGCAAUGCCGCGUGCAGGAAGAAGGCCUUCGGGUUGUAAACUGCUUUUGUACGGAACGAAACGGUCUGGGUUAAUACCUCGGGCUAAUGACGGUACCGUAAGAAUAAGCACCGGCUAACUACGUGCCAGCCGCCGCCGCAGUAA